rnacentral:rRNA from 1 species
GAUGAACGCUGGCGGCGUGCCUAAUACAUGCAAGUCGAGCGAACAGACGAGGAGCUUGCUCCUCUGACGUUAGCGGCGGACGGGUGAGUAACACGUGGAUAACCUACCUAUAAGACUGGGAUAACUUCGGGAAACCGGAGCUAAUACCGGAUAAUAUAUUGAACCGCAUGGUUCAAUAGUGAAAGACGGUUUUGCUGUCACUUAUAGAUGGAUCCGCGCCGCAUUAGCUAGUUGGUAAGGUAACGGCUUACCAAGGCAACGAUGCGUAGCCGACCUGAGAGGGUGAUCGGCCACACUGGAACUGAGACACGGUCCAGACUCCUACGGGAGGCAGCAGUAGGGAAUCUUCCGCAAUGGGCAAAAGCCUGACGGAGCAACGCCGCGUGAGUGAUGAAGGUCUUCGGAUCGUAAAACUCUGUUAUUAGGGAAGAACAAAUGUGUAAGUAACGAUGCACGUCUUGACGGUACCUAAUCAGAAAGCCACGGCUAACUACGU